rnacentral:other from 1 species
AUCCCCCUGCGGUGUUGGUGAUGAUGCCCAUAUUCUUUGAGCCAACAGCGAAAAAAAGGGAGCCGUCCCUUGUUGCGGCUGGCAAGCCCCCGUCCUCCGGGACUCAGGGGAAGCCAAAAGCAGCAAUAUGGCGCCCACCUAGAAACCUAGGUUCAAAAAGAAAGCAUCACACGGCACUCGCGGGGGGUCC